rnacentral:snRNA from 1 species
GGAUGGGAGGGCAGUCUGGCCAUGACAUCUGUCACCAUUUUUAUAGUCAGGGUUGAUUCUGCUGAUCUGACUGGCUAGGUGGGUGUCUCCUUCGUCCCCCACCACUCCAUGCGCAUCCCUUCCAAAGCUGCCUGCUCUGUAGGACCACCUUCCCUGAAUAGAGGAGGACCAGUCUUUAGCCAAGAGUAUACAAGUAGCUGCAGCCCCCUGCUAGAACCUCCAAGCAACCACUCACUAUGUGCAUGUAUGAAGAUUGCCCAUGGAAAUAUUUUCAAAUAGGCUAAUAGGAUGUUGGGGGGAAUCAAAAGCUCAUUUAGAUUUUUAGUUGGCAUGAGUUCAGUUUGGCUAACUGA